UACGGAGGGUGCAAACGUUGUUCGGAAUUACUGGGCGUAAAGCGCGUGUAGGCGGCUACGUGUGUCGGGCGUGAAAUCCCAUGGCUCAACCAUGGAAGUGCACCCGAAACUGCGUAGCUAGAGUCCUGGAGAGGAAGGUGGAAUGCUUGGUGUAGAGGUGGAAAUUCGUAGAUAUCAAGCGGAACACCGGUGGCGAAGGCGGCCUUCUGGACAG
rnacentral:rRNA from 1 species